CUCCGGUUUCCUCCCACAUUCCAAAAAAAAACAUGCUAGGUUAAUUAGCGACUCCAAAUUGUCCAUAGGUAUGAAUGUGAGUGUGAAUGGUUGUUUGUCUAUAUGUGCCCUGUGAUUGGCUGGCCACCAGUCCAGGGUGUACCUGGACUGAAAAAGAAAAUGAAUGAAUGAAUGAAUUUCACGGACCCACUUCCCUGGAAUACAUGCAAUGUGUAUUAUGUACUUGUAUUUGGGGCACCAAUUACAUGUAAUUUGUGGCCCAAACCAAUUUCCAAACAUUACAUUUGUCUUAUGAAAAAAAAAAAACUUUUUCUUUAAUAUUUCAACUUUGUGCCACUAAAAUGACAUUGUCAUAAUUUCUUUCUCAUUGGAUUACAACUUUUGCAUCAAUAUUUGAAAAAAUAUAUAUAUUUGGACUUUAUCUCAUAAAAUAGCUUUUUAAAGAAUUUUUGCCAUUCAAAUUUUAUUUUUUUUACAUUCUGUUUUUGGUCAUAAUUUUAUUCCCAUAUAACUUUAUUCUUGUAAAAUUGCUGAUUUUAAAUUUUUUUUCAGUUUUAAAUUUUUCAAAUAUUUAAAAAAAAUUUUAUUCAAUAAUUUUUCAAUGUUCUUUUUGUGAUAUCACUUUAUUCACUUAUAAAAUUUUCCACCAAUUUCCCAAUUUUCCAAAAUGUACAUGUCAUAACGAAUUUUUCCAAUACUGGCCCAAACCAAUUUUUUAAAAAAUGAAACAAAUAUUUGAACAGCAAAAAAAGUGUGCAAUACUUACAAUACUAAAAUAUUAAAAGUAAUUUUGUAAAUUUUACAAGACUGUACUUGUGAAAAUAUUUCUAAAUUAAAAUAAGUUUUUAAUAAAAUGUAAUUUAGGGAAAAAUAUGUUAAGAAUGUCAUUACAAAAAUAUUAUUUCGGAAAAAAAGUGGAAAUAUUGGGAAAGUACCACUACAAAAAGGUAUCAAAGUAGCUUGAAUUGAGUGACUUAAUUUUUGUGUUCAUUGCGUUCAGGAUGUACUCACACAAAAACGACUUCAACACGUAACUUUAUGGAAAAACUCAAACAGGAAAUGAAGUGACAACCGCAGAACACGUCAAGAAAUAGAAGUGCUCCCGUCUUCUUCAUGCCUCUUCCAGCUCUACCAGCACACCAUCGCAGUCUUUGGGAUGAAGAAACAUCACCGGUUUGCCGUGAGCUCCUACACGCGGCUCUGCUGACAGAGUUCUGAUGUUCUUUGCUUUCAGGUCUCUGAUUGCAGCAUGGAUGUCAUCGACCUGCAAAAGAUGCAUGAAACGUUCAUUGUUCAUGAGCCCUUUUCCGUAACGUACAAGUAGAUGGCGACAAACAUCGGUAGAUGCCUCUGAGGCACAGCGUUCGACUUCGAAAACCCCUGAGCUGCUGAACAUUAUAGCUGUUUGGUGCCGUACUUGUGCCUUAAACCCACUAGAUGCGACCAAAAAUGGUGGAACCGGCGUUAGACUUUGAAAACCCCUGAGCUGCUGAACAUUAUAGCUGUUUUGGUGCUGUACUUAUGCCUUAAAUCCACUAGAUACGACCAAGAAUGGUGGAUGCCGCCACGAACCGGCGUUAGACUUCGAAAACCACUGAGCUACUGAACAUUAUAGCUGUUUUGUUGCUGUACUUAUGCCUUAAACCCACUAGAUGUGACCAAAAAUGGUGGAUGCCGCCACGAACCGGCGUUAGACUUCGAAAACCACUGAGCUACUGAACAUUAUAGCUGUUUUGUUGCUGUACUUAUGCCUUAAACCCACUAGAUGUGACCAAAAAUGGUGGAUGCCGCCACGAACCGGCGUUAGACUUCGAAAACCUCUGAGCUACUGAACCUUAUAGCUGUUUGUUGCUGUACUUGUGCCUUAAA